UACAGAGGGGCAAGCGUUGUCCGGAAUCACUGGGCGUAAAGAGCGUGUAGGCGGCCGUACAGGUCAGACCUGUGAAAACUCGAGGGCUCAACCUCGAGACGUCGGUUGAAACCGUACGGCUAGAGUCCGGAAGACGGAGAGUGGAAUUCCCGGAUGGUAGCGGUGAAAUGGCGGCAGAUAUCGGGGAAGAACACCCGUGGCGAAGGCGGCUGCUCUGGGACGGUACUGACGCUGAGACGGCGAA
rnacentral:rRNA from 1 species